CGGGAGCUUGUACAGGUGCUGCAUGGCUGUCGUCAGCUCGUGUCGUGAGAUGCUCGGUUAAGUCCGCUAACGAGCGCAACCCUCGCUGUGUGUUACAAGUGUCACACGGUACUGCCGGUCUUAAGCCGGAGGAAGGUGGGAUGACGUCAAGUCAGGCAUGGCCUUUAUGUCCUGGGCUACACACACGCUACAAUGGCCAACACAAUAGGUUGCUAAGCCGCGAGGUGGAGCCAAUCCUCAAAGUUGGUCUACAGUUCAGAUUGCAGGCUGCAACCCGCCUGCAUGAAGAUGGAGUUGCUAGUAACCGCAGGUCAGCUAUACUGCGGUGAAUACGUUCCCGACGGCUU
rnacentral:rRNA from 1 species